UACGGAGGAUCCAAGCGUUAUCCGGAUUUAUUGGGUUUAAAGGGUGCGUAGGCGGAACGAUAAGUCAGUGGUGAAAGCCUGCAGCUUAACUGCAGAACUGCCAUUGAUACUGUCGAUCUUGAGUACAUUUGAUGAGGGCGGAAUGUGUCAUGUAGCGGUGAAAUGCUUAGAUAUGACACAGAACACCGAUUGCGAAGGCAGCUCUCAAAACUGUAACUGACGCUGAGGCACGAAAGCGUGGGUAUCAAACNGGAUUAGAACGUACCUCGUG
rnacentral:rRNA from 1 species